rnacentral:lncRNA from 1 species
UUCGCGGUGGAAGCCGACCGCUGCAUGCCCGUGGGUUUACAGUGCUUCCUCAUUGUUGUGGUGACGUCACCAUAAAAGUAAGCCCGGUCGACGUGCUUGGAUAUGUCUGGGGCCCUUGACUUGUGGCCUUCUGGAUACGCAUUAGUCAGGCUUGCAGCCUGUCG